CUAGCUGUAAACGAUGGAUACUAGGCGUUGAGAGUAUCGACCCUCUCAGUGUCGUAGCUAACGCGUUAAGUCUCCCGCCUGGGGAGUACGCGCGCAAGCGUGAAACUCAAAGGAAUUGACGGGGGCCCGCACAAGCGGUGGAGUAUGUGGUUUAAUUCGAUGCAACGCGAAGAACCUUACCAGGGCUUGACAUGUCCGGAACCCUGCCCAAAGGCGGGGGUGCCUACGGGAACCGGAACACAGGUGGUGC
rnacentral:rRNA from 1 species